rnacentral:rRNA from 1 species
GAUGAACGCUGACAGAAUGCUUAACACAUGCAAGUCCACUUGAACUUCGGUUUGGGUGGCGGACGGGUGAGUAACGCGUAAAGAACUUGCCUCACAGCUAGGGACAACAUUUGGAAACGAAUGCUAAUACCUGAUAUUAUGAUUAUAUGGCAUCGUAUAAUUAUGAAAGCUAUAUGCGCUGUGAGAGAGCUUUGCGUCCCAUUAGCUAGUUGGAGAGGUAACAGCUCACCAAGGCGAUGAUGGGUAGCCGGCCUGAGAGGGUGAUCGGCCACAAGGGGACUGAGACACGGCCCUUACUCCUACGGGGGGCAGCAGUGGGGAAUAUUGGACAAUGGACCGAGAGUCUGAUCCAGCAAUUCUGUGUGCACGAUGAAGUUUUUCGGAAUGUAAAGUGCUUUCAGUUGGGAAGAAAAAAAUGACGGUACCAACAGAAGAAGUGACGGCUAAAUACGUG